rnacentral:misc_RNA from 1 species
CAAACGAAGAAAAAGAAUACACACACGCGCGCACUCCGACCGUCCGUCGAACGCGUGCAGAGAAUCCCAAGGGCUCCUUCUUCGGUCACCCACCUCUUCAGUUGUCGCUCUCCCUCUAACGCACUGAGAAGGGGCGCGUCUUUUUCAGCUGCCCCUGUUUGGCAAGCACUAUUGUUCCUGCACUUAUCUCUGCAACCAUGGUGCUCGUGGUCGUGAAGGGGACUAACUACCCGGACGAGUUCACAGUGGAGCGCGCACUGACAGACGCACUCUCCUCAUCCGAGGAGACGCCGCGUGGCGCUGCGGACGUCAACUCCCCACCUCAUGCAUGCUCGUCUUUGCCCUCUACGAGCACAAUUGUGCCGGGCAUUGCGCACAUUCUCAACAAACGUCAUCAUGUGCGCCUGAUGCUUAUGUCGGCCCAGGAGCUGGCCACGCUGUGGCCGCAGCACCAGCACCGCUCCGAUGGCACGGCUAGCACCGAGGCAAGGGAGACCCAAGAGCCAGAGGAGGUGUUAGGACGCUAUCAAGCCCUUAUCGAUGGCCUCUACGCGCGACUCAGGGACGCAAAAACUCCGGUGCUGGCAGACGAGUUCGACAAAGCCGAGCACGAGCUGCGCGCGCUCACCGCUACUCUGUACUCUUCUCUGUGCACCCACGCAGACGGGCCUGAGGCGGCGGUGCAGCAGCUGUACACGAAGCAUGAAGACCCUGACCUGGACGAAGACACGCGCUUGGUCGUGUACCACUGCCGUGCCCUUCUCGAUCCCGAGUGGAAGGCGAACGAGCGAGUCAAAGAGGAUGACGCGGCGCUGUGGUUCUGCGGCAAACCGAUGAAUGCGACACUGGCCAAGUACUGUGGUCGGAACGAAAAGAGCAAAGUCAUUGUCAAGGUUGCGCCGCGGAAGGGGCCGGCCCCGAGCUGUGAGCCACGCAUGCGCUACGAGGAUCAGCGUGCGCUCUACCGCGCCCUGUGCCAGCGGCGCGAAGCGUACAAGCAGCUGGAGGACUCGGAGCUGCGCGACCGCGUCGUCCAGCAGUCGCGGAGCACGAGACGACUACUGCUGGGUGCGGCAGCGGCUUUCGGCAGUCGCACCGAAGGGGCACCGACGGUGACGCCGUUGGCCUCUGGAACUUCGAGUCCGGCGAUGCUGCGCACGGAUGGGCUGCGCCCCAUCUUCCCUCGCAAGGAAGAGCGUGAGUUGCCCAUCUCCUGAGAACGUGUUAUCAUUCGCCACACUUGGCAAGGAAUAUGGGACGCGACGGCUCCCGCCACCUUUCUGGUUCUUACUGUUCAUGCCGUCGUGUUGCCUUUAUCCCUUUCAUUCCCUCUUCCGUUCCCCGGCGCACCGGGUGACGGGCGUGUGCUUCCGUGUGGCCGAGCACGCCGACAAGGUUUUGCCUUUGUUUUUCCGGUUCCCCUAAGUCCUUCUUUAUCCUCGCAUCUCGAGCGUGCUGCGGUUCUCGGGUACUUCCUCGCCCCCUCCCCCUCUCCGCCUCCAACUCUCCAGCUCUCUCUCACACUGGCCUACCGCACUGCCCCUCUCUUCCCUGAACACCUCUCCUCCCUGACGGUGGGAUGAGGCCGGCGCUGGCUGCGAAGGCGCCUUCCCACUCCUCUGUGGCGCACGAUUGGAAGUAUUUGUGGUACACUAGAAU